GACGAACGCUGGCGGCGUGCCUAACACAUGCAAGUCGAGCGAGAGACUUCGGUCUCUAGCGGCGGACGGGUGAGUACCACGUGGGCAACCUGCCUCAUAGUGGGGGAUAGCCUUCCGAAAGGAAGAUUAAUACCGCAUCUACUCUCGAUACCACAUGGUGUUUAGAGGAAAGGAGCAAUCCGCUAUGAGAUGGACCCGCGGCGCAUUAGCUAGUUGGUGAGGUAACGGCUAACCAAGGCGACGAUGCGUAGCCGACCUGAGAGGGUGAUCGGCCACAUUGGAACUGAGACACGGUCCAGACUCCUACGGGAGGCAGCAGUGGGGAAUAUUGCACAAUGGGCGAAAGCCUGAUGCAGCAACGCCGCGUGAGUGAUGACGGCCUUCGGGUUGUAAAGCUCUGUCUUUUGGGACGAUAAUGACGGUACCAAAGGAGGAAGCCACGGCUAACUACGUGCCAGCCGCCGCCGUAA
rnacentral:rRNA from 1 species